rnacentral:rRNA from 1 species
GACGAACCGUACGAACGUUAUUCGGAAUCACUGGGCUUAAAGGGUGCGUAGGCGGCGCGGAAAGUCGGGUGUGAAAUCCCUCGGCUUAACCGAGGAACUGCGCUCUAAACUACCGUGCUCGAGGGAGAUAGAGGUGAGCGGAACUUAGGGUGGAGCGGUGAAAUGCGUUGAUAUCCUAAGGAACACCGGUGGCGAAAGCGGCUCACUGGAUCUCUUCUGACGCUGAGGCACGAAAGCUAGGGUAGCGAACGGG